UACGGAAGGCAGCAGUGGGGAAUAUUGCACAAUGGGCGCAAGCCUGAUGCAGCCAUGCCGCGUGUAUGAAGAAGGCCUUCGGGUUGUAAAGUACUUUCAGUCGUGAGGAAGGUGUUAAGGUUAAUAACCUUAGCAAUUGACGUUAGCGACAGAAGAAGCACCGGCUAACUCCGUGCCAGCAGCCGCGGUAAUACGGAGGGUGCGAGCGUUAAUCGGAAUUACUGGGCGUAAAGGGCACGCAGGCGGUUAAUUAAGUUGGAUGUGAAAUCCCCGGGCUUAACCUGGGAAUGGCAUUCAAGACUGGUUAGCUAGAGUCUUGUAGAGGGGGUAGAAUUCCAUGUGUAGCGGUGAAAUGCGUAGAGAUGUGGAGGAAUACCGGUAGCGAAGGCGGCCCCUGGACAAAGACUGACGCUCAUGUGCGAAAGCGUGGGGAGCAAAC
rnacentral:rRNA from 1 species